CCGCAAGGCGUUAUUCCGGACGAUGCCAUCGCUCUAUACGGCCUUCCUAUUCGCCGGCCCAUUCCAGUCCUCCGAAGGACUCCUGGAGACUUUAGCGGUUGGGGUGCCUAGAACCAUCGAGCCAAGAUAGGGAAUUGGCCAUCUUCCAUUAGUGCACAGGAGAUUUCCUGGUAUCGCGAGACGCGGGCACGAGAUCUAGCUCGCUGGAACACGGCAGGUAUCACCCACACUAUCGAUUUGUGUUUCCAUCUUCCUCGCGGUGGUAAUCGCUCGCCGCUCGCUGCUUUCCUCUAUUUUUGGAAUACCGCCACCAACACAUUUGACUUUAGAUUUGGUCAAAUGAGCAUCACUCUGUUGGAUAUCCUCGCCAUCACUGGCUUGCCCAUCGAUGGCGAACCUUAUGUGCACGGCCAAUUUGACUCUGUCAACUUCACCUCAACUAUGGCCCAACACGGUCGCAGCGCUCACAGUGGCUCCUAUCCGCGAUGGUUGGCGUAUUACAGCCGGGAACACAACGCGACCGGUGGAAUCGCUUUUCUUGAGUAUUGGAUAUGUAAAUUCAUAUUCUGCACCUCUUCUUGUAAGCCCACUGGCACCUGGACCUUCUUAGCAACGGCCCUCUACAACGGCCGCAACAUUGGGCUCGGACAACCGGUACUGGGAGCCCUCUAUCGCAUGCUGUACCAAGCGACGAUGCAUCCAUUUGAGACCAACAUAUCUGGUCCUUUCUGGAUUUUAGAUUUUUGGAUCCAGACUUACUUUCAACUCUUCCGCCGCGAAGAUAUCCCGCUACUUCCACCGGCCGACCAACUCUUAGGUCGAUGGUUCUGCCGCGAGGACAAGUACUCAUCUCCCCCUUAUUCUGAAUGUUUUUCUUAUCUGUACUUGCUAGAUGAUAUGCCGUACUGUGACCUAAUUCUGAGUAGAAGAUUCCCAUCUUUGCUCGAAUAUGGUUUUCUUCCUGGCGAUCCUCGCUAUUCCGACCGCGCUCGCCUGGCUUUUCGUCGCGCGGUCUCCUGUUCGGAUAUCAGGAUCGCCGCCGAAGAACUCAGCUACGAGCUCUAUGCUCCUAAUCACUUUGCCCGUCAGUUCGGCCUUGUCUAAUUGGUACCAGUCCCUCUAUACGACGCCUGGAACUACAACACCUCUUGGCGCAGAUUCGGGCCCCCCUCAGGGCCCCCGCCGGCACAGAGCACGCUCGCGCUAGUCGAUCUCCCUGAUUGGGCCCAGGUCAUCGACGCUGUAGACGGAACUGAAGAAGGCUAUGAGAUUUGGUGGGCGGAAGUCUCCGUCAAUUGCUGGACCCCACCAGACGACGAACUCUUUGCAACUAUCUUUGGCGAGCUGAGGAAUCCUUAUCCUGUCGAUGUUGACAUGCUUGCUCGCUUCUCUGAAGACAUUACUGGGCCCCGGCCCCUUCAAGUGAUCCGAUCGGCGCGAGUUCCUCGCCCGGCCCAGGCUGGAAUCGUAAUUCGCGAACCUCCGCCGGAGGUAAGUAUUGUAACUUUACCCUCUGCAAGUUCCUUCACUGUUCUCUCUGUUUACUCACACCUCUUUGUACUAGGGGAGUGCGCCGCGCCCUGGCCGCCGCACAACCAGUGCUUCCCCGGCCGCCGGACAAUCUGGAAAACAGAAAGCAGUGCUCGCUGAACCUGCAGCCGAAGAUUCUUCUUCUUCUGAUGACGACGAUGCACAAACCGUAAGAAAUCCUCUAUCCUCAGGAUCACGUUCUGUGGGUUAAGUCCUAACUCCUUGAUUUUGACAGGUCGCAGCUGCUCUAGCUCGCAAGCGUAGUCGCUCGGACCCUCGUGCUGACCCCUGGGCAGAAGAUGAACCACCGGCUGAUCGGUUGGUAAGAAGCGAGAAGCUCAUCCUAAGCAUUAUCCACACCUUCGCCCAAACUUCCAUAACCUUCUCUUUUAUAGGUUCGUCGCCGGCGGUUUGGAACCGCUGGGGAGGGCUCUUCAGCUGCUAGUCAAGGAACAACUGCUUCACAAGCGCCGGCGCCCGUGGGCCCUGAAAACCUUCCACCUCCUAUCAACACCGUUGGCGACUCGGCCUCAAUUCCUGUGCAGAUCAUAGAGGACAGUUCACCCGAGCCGGAAGAGAAUGCACCCCUGCCAGAUGCACCGCCCGAGGAGCCGGUCGCUGUACAACCCCCGGCAGACGUAUCGCUCAAUCUUGACCCCACCGCGGC
rnacentral:lncRNA from 1 species